UUUAUAAUAUAUAGAUAAAGCGAUUGCAUUUUAAUGCAUUUGAACAGUUCACAUCUUAAUGACAAAUAUCUUUGUAUUAAGAAGUUUUCUGAAUAGUUAAGAUACAAAUAUAAGUCUAAAUUAUUCAGAAAAUCUGUUAAUACAAAAAUAUAAAUUAUUAAAAUUUAUUAAAAUAUGAACUGUUAAGAUAUUAAGAUCCGAUCAAACAUUAACUUAUUAGUCAGGUCCCACCACAAGGAGGUAUAGCAACCACCAAAUAUUCUUUGUUUAUCCACUUGGAUACAUUAUUAACUCACAUUUGUCAUCAUAACGUACCCAACUACACUUUCUACUUUAUUAUAUUAACUAAAUCAAUCAAUAAUCAUAUCAAGCUUUAUUAUUUACAGAUAAAUACGUAACAAAUUUUAUUUUUAAUUUGACGCAUUAACAAAUUGUGGACUAAAUUAUUUUGGAUUUGACAAAUCCAAUCACCAAACAUAUAGGAAAACAAUUGUCCUGUACGUACUACUGCGGAUUUUGACAAAUACUAGUACUAGUGUAAUUUGAGUCCGGUUAGCAUGUUUAUUUUUUAGUAAGUUGUCAAUAGAAUACUAACACAUAUAGAAUCUUAUCACUCUAUUGAUUAAUUGAUCAAUUUACUUCAAAAUAAAUUUCAUACUAACUAUUUUCCUAAUUUGAAGAUCCCCGUUACCCUACAACCAUUGCACCAUAUUAUUGCAUUUCUACUUUUGGCAAUUUGCAUUCUCCAUACCAAGGUUUUUAACCCCGAACCGGUCAUCGAACCGAAAAAAUUACUGAGUGGAUGAGUCAUUGGUCCAACCAGUGGUCAGACCGUUAUUGACU
rnacentral:lncRNA from 1 species